rnacentral:rRNA from 1 species
GAUACUUUAUUACAUUCUAGUGCGGACGGUGAGUACACGUUGGAACCUGCCCCAAAGUGAGAAUAAGCCACCGAAAGGUGGUCUAAUACUUCAUAAUAUCCAUCUCGUAUGGAUUAAAGCUUUAUGCGCUUUGGAGGGGCCUGCGUAACAUUAGCUUGUUGGUGAGGUAAAAGCUCACCAAGGCUUCGAUGUUUAACUGGUUUGAGAGGAUGACCAGUCACACUGGGACUGAGAUACGGCCCAGACUCCUACGGGAGGCAGCAGUAAGGAAUCUUCCACAAUGGAGGCAACCCUGAUGGAGCAAUACCGCGUGCAGGAUGAAGCGUUUCGGCGUGUAAACUGCUUUUAUCACCGAAGAUUAUGACUGUAGGUGAAGAAUAAGGACCGGCUAACUACGUG